rnacentral:rRNA from 1 species
CACGGACCAAGGAGUCUAACAUGUGCGCGAGUCAUUGGGUUAUGCUAAACCUAAAGGCGAAAUGAAAGUGAAGGCCGCAAUGGAUUGGGCGGACGAGGGAAGAUGGUUACGGGAUCACCCGGGGCUUCGGCCUCGGGCCCGGCCCGCAUUCCCGGGGCGCCUCGACCUCACUGCGAGGUGAGGCGCACCUAGAGCGUACACGUUGGGACCCGAAAGAUGGUGAACUAUGCCUGGCCAGGACGAAGUCAGGGGAAACCCUGAUGGAGGUCCGCAGCGAUUCUGACGUGCAAAUCGAUCGUCGGAGCUGGGUAUAGGGGCGAAAGACUAAUCGAACCAUCUAGUAGCUGGUUCCCUCCGAAGUUUCCCUCAGGAUAGCUGGCACUCGGAGGUCUGGAAAGUGUGAAGUGAGUCUCAUACGGUAAAGCGAAUGAUUAGAGGCCUUGGGGCCGAAACGAUCUCAACCUAUUCUCAAACUUUAAAUGGGUGAGAACUCCGGCUUGCUUGUGGAUGAAGCCGGAGACGGAUCAGGAGUGCCAAGUGGGCCACUUUUGGUAAGCAGAACUGGCGCUGUGGA